rnacentral:misc_RNA from 1 species
GAUGAAGAACGCAGCGAAAUGCGAUAAGUAAUGUGAAUUGCAGAAUCCAGUGAAUCAUCGAAUCUUUGAACGCACAUUGCGCCCGCCAGCAUUCUGGCGGGCAUGCCUGUUCGAGCGUCAUUAUAACCCCUCAAGCUCAGCUUGGUGUUGGGGCCUGCCGACUGGCAGCCCUUAAAAUCAGUGGCGGCGCCAUCUGGCUCUAAGCGUAGUAAUUUCUCUCGCUAUAGAGUCCCGGUGGAUGCUUGCCAGCAACCCCCAACUUUCUAUGGUUGACCUCGGAUCAGGUAGGGAUACCCGCUGAACUUAAGCAUAUCAAUAAGCGGAGGA